rnacentral:rRNA from 1 species
AACGAACGCUGGCGGCAUGCCUAACACAUGCAAGUCGAACGAGACCUUCGGGUCUGGUUGCGCACGGGUGCGUCACGCGUGGGAACCUGCCCUUAGGCUCGGAAUAACUCCCCGAAAGGGGUGCUAAUACCGGAUAAUGUCUUCGGACCAAAGAUUUAUCGCCUUUGGAUGGGCCCGCGUUGGAUUAGCUAGUUGGUAGGGUAAAAGCCUACCACGGCGACGAUCCAUAGCUGGUCUGAGAGGAACAGCAGCCACACUGGGACUGAGACACGGCGCGGAAUCCUACGGGAGGCAGGAGUGGGUAAUAUUGGAAUAUCGGCGAAAGGCUGAUCCAGCAAGGCCGCGUGAGUGAUGAAGGCCUUAGGGUUGUAAAGCUCUUUUACCCGGGGUGAUAAUGACAGUACCGGGAGAAUAAGCACCGGCUAACUCCGUG